AUGUCAACAACUCCGGCAACUUGCAUCCAAUAUACGACGGCGACGCCCAAACAAUCGAAGGCGCAAAGAAACGCCCACCAAAUUGAAGACACGGCAUCAACACCAUCAACCUCAGAGAUGACUGUCCAGCAUACGUCAGCCCCAGCAGCUCAUCAUACAAAAAGAAAGGAAGAACAACCUCUAAACUCAAGGAGCACAAAGCGGACAAGGACUGCAGAGGGAAGAAGAAAUACGAACACAGAGGCUCCUAAACGAUUAAGAAAGGAUAGUGCUGAAGAAGAUAAGGAAUUGAAGUGUGCAAGAAGCGGAAGCAACAAAAACAACAUCAAAAUCAAUGUUGGAGACAACAACAGAACCACAGCCUCGACAAAAGCUAAUAGAAAGGCAUGGAACUUCGGAAGGCCAACAUACAAAUGCCAGUAUUGCAAAGCAUUGCUAUGGUGUGAAGAAAGAUUAAAUUCAAACAAAGGAACUAAGACACCCUCUUUUGGAAUAUGCUGCAAACAGGGAAAAAUCGACCUGCCACCACUAAGAGAGCCUCCACCAUACCUCAGAAAUCUCUUAAGAAGUGAAGGACAGGAUUCAGUAAACUUCAAAGAAAAUAUAAGGUCAUACAACUCAAUGUUUUCAUUCACAUCCAUGGGAGGAGUUGUGGACAAGGAAAUAAACACUCGCAAAGGACCUUAUGUUUUUCGUUUGCAUGGACAGAAUUACCACCAUAUCGGAACUCUUUUACCUGAAGGUACAAACAAACCUCGGUUUGCACAGCUGUACAUCUAUAAUACCGAAAAUGAGGUGGCAAACAGGAUAAGUGCAUCAAGAUGCAAUGAUAAUAAAUCAACAGUGGACCCCAACAUUGUCAAAGAAUUGCAAAUAAUGCUCGACGACAACAACAUCCUCGCAAAAACAUUCAGAAUGGCAAGAGAUAGAUUCCAAGAAGGAGACUACCAUGAUUACACACUUCGGAUACUAGGAAAAAGGAACGGAACACACAACCUUCCAUCCGCAUCUGAAGUUGCAGCAUUGGUAGUAAGAGAUCCAACUGGAGAGAGUGAAGGACGUGACAUUGUUGUUGAGUACAAAAAUAUGGUGCCACAAAGGAUAUCAGAGAUCCACCCGAAAUUCAUGUCCAUGCAAUAUCCGUUAUUGUUCCCAUAUGGAGAAGAUGGUUUUAAACUUGAGAUACCGUACAAGAAAACAAAAGGAGCUAAAAACAGCAGGAAAUACGUAACGUUGUUGGACUACUAUGCAUUCUACCUACAGCAACGUCCAGACCAAGGAAUGUUAUUGCUCAAGUCUGGGCAUCUGUCACUGCAAUUUUGGGUGGAUGUAUACACAUGUAUCGAGCAAAAUAGACUAAACUGGAUCCGACACAAUCAAGGAAAGCUAAGAACUGAAAUUUACAAUGGAUUGCAGGAUGCAAUUAAGCGAGGGGACACAAGAACAGAGCAGGUUGGAAAGAGGAUAAUUGUGCCUUCAUCUUUUACAGGUGGUAGAAGGAACAAGGCACAAUACUUGCAAGAUGCAUUCGCAAUAUGUCGUUGGGCUGGAUACCCAGACCUGUUUAUAACAUUCACAUGCAAUGCAAAGUGGCCUGAGAUCCAAUACAUGCUAGAUGAAGCGGGAGGUGACCAAAAGCCAGCCGAUCGGCCAGAUAUUUUGGACAGAGUAUUUAUGAUAAAACUAAAGGAGCUAAUGAGAGACAUAAAAGAGAAGAAAUACUUUGGAGAAACACUUGCAAUUAUCUACCAAUAG
rnacentral:rRNA from 1 species